rnacentral:rRNA from 1 species
GUAGUCUGCAACCCGACUACAUGAAGCUGGAAUCGCUAGUAAUCGCGAAUCAGAAUGUCGCGGUGAAUACGUUCCCGGGUCUUGUACACACCGCCCGUCACACCAUGGGAGUCGGAAAUGCCCGAAGUCAGUGACCUAACCGAAAGGGAGGAGCUGCCGAAGGUGGAGCCGGUAACUGGGGUGAAGUCGUAACAAGGUAUC